rnacentral:rRNA from 1 species
CACCAGGUUGAUUCUGCCUGACGUGGACGCUAGUCUCACAGAUUUAGCCAUGCAUGUGUAAGCGAAGCUUAUAGGAGAGCGGUAUACGGCUCAGUAACGGGCGAUUUAUUUGUUCUCCUGGGACGGACAACAUCGGGAAACUGAUGGGAAAACGUCUAAGUUGCAGUUAAAUGACUGUGACGUAAACUUUCGUGUGCAGGAGAGUAAGAUGCCAUCCUAUCAGUUAGUAAGUAGGGUAAGGGCCUACUUAGACGAAGACGGGUACGGGGAAUGAGGGUUUGAUUCCGGAGAGGGAGCCUGAGAGAUGGCUACCAGGACCAAGGUCAGCAGCAGGCGCGAAAAUUAUCGAAGCCCGCCUAGGGGCGAUAGUGAGGAGACGUGUAUAACGAAGUACGUGUAAAGAACGUGCUAAUAACUGGAGGUCAAGUCUGGUGCCAGCAUCCGCGGUAAUUCCAGCUCCAGGGGUGUCUAUGAUGAUUGCUGCGAUUAAAAAGUCCGUAGUCAAUCUGACUGACUGACCUGCAAUGUGAUUGAUUAAAGAACGAGCAGGGUUAGGAAAGCAGAGAAUUAGGAGCGACCGAGGGCUAGAGUAUUGAAUGGCGAGAGGUGAAAUUUGAUGACCCAUUCAGGAGUGACAAAGGCGAAGGCACUAGUCAAGGGCGAAUCCGAUGAUCAAGGACGUAGGCUAGAGUUUCGAAAACGAUUAGAGACCGGAGUAGUUCUAGCAGUAAACUAUGCCGACGCCGUGGUAUCAAUAAUGGUAUUGCGGAAGAGAAAUCAAGUAAGGCUUUGGGGAGAGUACGCGCGCAAGCGAUAAAUUUAAAGGAAAUU